rnacentral:rRNA from 1 species
AAGAAAGAGGGAGGGGUGCUUAACACAUGCAAGUCGAACGGAAAGGCCCUGCUUUUGUGGGGUGCUCGAGUGGCGAACGGGUGAGUAACACGUGAGUAACCUGCCCUUGACUUUGGGAUAACUUCAGGAAACUGGGGCUAAUACCGGAUAGGAGCUCCUGCUGCAUGGUGGGGGUUGGAAAGUUUCGGCGGUUGGGGAUGGACUCGCGGCUUAUCAGCUUGUUGGUGGGGUAGUGGCUUACCAAGGCUUUGACGGGUAGCCGGCCUGAGAGGGUGACCGGCCACAUUGGGACUGAGAUACGGCCCAGACUCCUACGGGAGGCAGCAGUGGGGAAUAUUGCACAAUGGGCGGAAGCCUGAUGCAGCAACGCCGCGUGCGGGAUGACGGCCUUCGGGUUGUAAACCGCUUUCGCCUGUGACGAAGCGUGAGUGACGGUAAUGGGUAAAGAAGCACCGGCUAACUACGUG